rnacentral:rRNA from 1 species
UACACGACCGUACCGCAAACCGACACUGGUGCGCGAGAUGAGUAUUCUAAGGCGCUUGAGAGAACUCAGGAGAAGGAACUCGGCAAAUUGACACCGUAACUUCGGAAGAAGGUGUGCCCUAUUAGUGUGAAGUGAACAACGGAGCAUGAAUGGGUUGCAAAAAAUCGGUGGCUGCGACUGUUUAUUAAAAACACAGCACUCUGCAAACACGAAAGUGGACGUAUAGGGUGUGACGCCUGCCCGGUGCUGGAAGAUUAAAUGAUGGGGUGCAAGCUCUUGAUUGAAGUCCCAGUAAACGGCGGCCGUAACAAUAACGGUCCUAAGGUAGCGAAAUUCCUUGUCGGGUAAGUUCCGACCUGCACGAAUGGCGUAACGAUGGCCACACUGUCUCCUCCUGAGACUCAGCGAAGUUGAAAUGUUUGUGAUGAUGCAAUCUCCCCGCGGAAAGACGGAAAGACCCCAUGAACCUUUACUGUAGCUUUGUAUUGGACUUUGAACAGAUCUGUGUAGGAUAGGUGGGAGGCUUUGAAGCAGGGUCGCUAGAUCUUGUGGAGCCAACGUUGAAAUACCACCCUGGUGUGUUUGAGGUUCUAACCUAGGUCCAUUAUCUGGAUCGGGGACAGUGCAUGGUAGGCAGUUUGACUGGGGCGGUCUCCUCCCAAAGCGUAACGGAGGAGUUCGAAGGUACGCUAGUUACGGUCGGACAUCGUGACGAUAGUGCAAUGGCAUAAGCGUGCUUAACUGCGAGACUGACAAGUCGAGCAGAUGCGAAAGCAGGACAUAGUGAUCCGGUGGUUCUGUAUGGAAGGGCCAUCGCUCAACGGAUAAAAGGUACUCUGGGGAUAACAGGCUGAUACCGCCCAAGAGUACAUAUCGACGGCGGUGUUUGGCACCUCGAUGUCGGCUCAUCUCAUCCUGGGGCUGUAGCCGGUCCCAAGGGUAUGGCUGUUCGCCAUUUAAAGAGGUACGUGAGCUGGGUUUAAAACGUCGUGAGACAGUUUGGUCCCUAUCUUCCGUGGGCGCUGCAGAUUUGAGGAAGCCUGCUCCUAGUACGAGAGGACCGGAGUGGACACACCUCUGGUGUAUCGGUUGUCACGCCAGUGGCAUUGCCGAGUAGCUAAGUGUGGAAGAGAUAACCGCUGAAAGCAUCUAAGCGGGAAACUCGUUUCAAGAUGAGAUCUGCCGGGGCCUUGAGCCCCCUAAAGAGUCGUUCAAGACCAGGACGUUGAUAGGUCAGGUGUGGAAGC